UACGUAGGGUGCAAGCGUUAAUCGGAAUUACUGGGCGUAAAGCGUGCGCAGGCGGUUUUGUAAGUCUGAUGUGAAAUCCCCGGGCUCAACCUGGGAAUUGCAUUGGAGACUGCAAGGCUAGAAUCUGGCAGAGGGGGGUAGAAUUCCACGUGUAGCAGUGAAAUGCGUAGAGAUGUGGAGGAACACCGAUGGCGAAGGCAGCCCCCUGGGUCAAGAUUGACGCUCAUGCACGAAAGGGUGGGGAGCAAACAGG
rnacentral:rRNA from 1 species